ensembl:lncRNA
CGGAUUUAACUCUUGUAAAAAGGUUGUGCAAAGAAAGUUCUCAGAAUGGCUUUGAAAGAGGACAGGGCACGAACUUGAAGUAAUUUCAGUUCCUCUAGCGUUUUUACAAGUGCAGGUACAAGGGCAAUGGGAAAGUACGGUUCUCCCCGUGCUAUGGGGAUGGCCAAGCAGGCCUAGAAAUGGAUAACUCUGACAGCCAGGAGCACAAAGAAAAUCUCCAGAGCACUGCAGUAGCUUCACAAGCACAAAAAGUACCCGAGAAUAUCGCUUACAAAAAGCAAGUUCAAAGAAACCAGAGGCUUGCCGAAGACUGCAAAUCAUUAACUUGAUCUUUUGUGAUAAGAAUCAGCCAUACGCACAUAAUAGAAAUGGCUUGACUGGAUGGCGUGUGGUAGUUUAGCAGGUAGCUUAAUCCCAAAGCAGAUCAAACUUGUGAACUUUAGAACCUGUCACUCUUCAAAGAUUACCUCGAGGUGUACAUUUCCUAAAGCAAAAAAUUCUGCCCGCUCUGGAGAAGCAAUAACUGCAACCAAAUUGCUGGACAGGAAUCAGGAGGAGAGACAGUAAUUGGCUGACAAGACCUUCAAAAUACAAGGAGUAAGUCUUCUGGAAUAAGGACUGGAGUACGUCUACGAUUAGAAGGAAAAAUUCUUUAGGAAUCAAAACAUGCCCUUAACUAGAAUUCACAGCGCUGUAAGCAGUGGAGAAAAAAUAUACUCAUUGUGCCUGAGGAGGUUUUGGUGGAUCUAUGUUUUCAAACUCAUAAGCACCAUGUUUUGUACAAAGCACUUUCCCUUAAGUGCUCAGUUCCCUUGGCCCUGGAGCAGGUCUCGUGGGGCUGGGUGUAGCGGUGCAACGUGGUUGGACAGGCAGCCAGGCAAAGGGUCAGACAAGUGCAUGCUUUGUGACUCUGUAGCUUCACUUCAUCAAAGAGGACUUGUUAUUGAUAGUAUCAAAGGCUAUCUUGUAACACGAACGUCCACGGUAAACAUCAGCUUAAAUACAACUUUGCAGGAGAUAAAAAUUCAGAAUGGGUGCUCUUGCAUCACAGGACAAAGUGAACGUCCCUGUUUGUUUCUAACAGAUAUUUACAAGUUUUAGCAGCAAUCCUUCCAGCGCAAAGGAAAUGGCAGCUCAUUCCCUCAUCCUGCCUGCUUCCAGCCGUGCUUACUUGAGGGUGUUUUCCAUGGCACUUGAUGAGGCCUCAGCCCCCUCUUCCAACCUGCAGCACCCCCAAGGCUACUGUAAAUCUAUAGCAGUGUCUGACAUUCGGGUGUGAAAAGCAAACUGCUCCAGUGUGAUGCAACUGCAGCAAUUACAUUAAACAGUUAAAUCAGCUUGACCUGUGUGAAGACAGAAAUCUGAUUUCAGCAGUGUUCUCAGCGAUCUUCUUGUUUCCUGUGUGCUCAUUGCAAAACUACUGCAGCAGCCUUGGGACUCUCAGCUGGUAGCUGGGCUUUGUAUAUAUAUACAUAUAUAUAUUCUACCUGCUUUUGCACCACAGAGUCAGUCUCCUCUGCCCCAGCAAGAAGCCUUGGUUUGACCUGAGCCUGAGCUGCUAUAACCACCUCCUGCCUGCGUGCUGGCAGCCUCCAGCACCUGGGCCAUCAGCCCAGCCUGAGUUCAUUGCGAUAAGGGCAUGCGGCAUAGCUGGAAGCUGCAGAGAUCGCCAGAACCCGUCCCUGCUGCAGGCGAGCACUUUCUGGAUGAUACGUUGAGCUUGGGAGUACAGGAAAUCUCCUUCUAGGAAUACCCAGAAGAUCACCGUGAUAGCACUCCAGCAGACAGGGUACAUAUAGUACUUUGACCUGCACAGUGCUCUGGGAGCUGUUUCACCCUGCUAUGCAUGGGGUAGCUGAUGAUCUCUCCAGCGUGAUGGACCAGUAAAGAAGCUAUUGUUCAGCUACAAGGGAUUUGCUUGUUUGUUUGGGGAAGAACAGCAAGGCAAGCAGCUGGGUGUGAUAAGUAUUUCAGUCACACUGCUUUAGUCACUACCAUGUGCAGAUCAUUAUUUCUUGCCCAAUUCUCCUCUACUGCCAGCAUGUUAUGUAAAUCCUUUUCUGAUUUCAGUUCUUAUGUCCCUAUUAGCUCUUCUCAUUUGGGACACGGGAUCAAGACAGCUUGUUGACCAGGAACAACUCACCUAGACUGCCAUCAUUCUAAAUCUUGAAGCUUUGCAGGAAUCCAAGAACUGCCAACAUGCCUUUGAUGUCUUAUGAUGAUUACUGCAACAGACCUCUUAAGAAAUGAGCAUAGAACACCUAUGCUUGCUACACAAAAGGGAGAAGGUUGGAGAAGAGAGUAAGUUAAUUCAGGAAAACAGAAGGAAAAAGUUGUUCUCCUUGGCUACUGAAGUUUUUCCUUCAUGCUGCUUUCUCUAAAAGCAGAAGGACUGACUGGAUGGAAAUCACAUGAAGAAGUUUCCAGCUUUUUUUUUUUUGUUUAAUCACUGAGUAGCCUACGCAUCCUGCUCUUUUUCCCUCCUCUCUCCCUAACGUGAAUAUGACACAACCAGAAAAUCCAGCAGAUGAGUACUCAAGUGCAAUAAGAAAGUCUGUCCAGGCUGCAACCUCACUACCUGCUCUGCCAAACCUUUAUGCCUUCUCUUAAUGGCAUCUUAACACAGCCUGUGUCUCUUCUGUGUGUACCUUGUAUGCUUUGGGAACAAGAAGAUCAAAAGGACACCUCUAGUAUCAGUCACUUGUGUUGUAAUAUUAUCAAUUCAUACAUUUGUUUCCGUGUUUAAAUGACUACUUUCUUACUUCGGUUGCCGUGCUUUGUUCUUACUGAGUUAUCUCAACCCACAACAUUGCUAUUGCAAAUGUCUGUUGAAAGAUUAUAUGAACAGAACUGAGGAAGCAGAAAACCACAGCUGGUCCUAUAGUUUGGACGCUUUAAUCUACCUGUAUUUGAUUUUCUUCUCUAAACACAUCGCUGUUGCGUUGAAGCUGCUUCUAAGGAUUAAUUAGCAAAGCAAUUAGCAUGUGUUAACCUUUUUAUUUUCUUACCCAUCCCGAAGGUACAUACAUACCUUGGUCAGUUUGUGCUUCAAAAUUACACUUUUUGAUGUUGUUAAUCAAGGUCAGAUUAAUUAAAUACUGCUUUAUGUACAACCAAAGUUUGGACUGGAG